CCUACGGGUGGCAGCAGUAGGGAAUAUUGCCCAAUGGGGGAAACCCUGAAGCAGCAACGCCGCGUGGAGGAAGCAGGUUUUCGGAUUGUAAACUCCUUUUGUUAGAGAAGAUAAUGACGGUAUCUAACGAAUAAGCACCGGCUAACUCCGUGCCAGCAGCCGCGGUCAUACGGAGGGUUCACGCGUUACUCGGAAUCACUGGGCGUAAAGAGCGCGUAGGCGGGAUAGCAAGUCAGAUGUGAAAUCCUAUGGCUUAACCAUCGAACUGCAUUUGAAACUGGUAUUCUAGAGUGUGGGAGAGGUAGGUGGAAUUCGUGGUGUAGGGGUGAAAUGCGUAGAGAUCAAGAGGAAUACUGAUGGCGAAGGCGACCUGCUAGAACAUAACUGACGCUGAUGCGCGAAAGCGUGGGGAGCAAACAGGAUUAGAUACCCUGGUAGUC
rnacentral:rRNA from 1 species